rnacentral:tRNA from 1 species
GGGGAGGUCGCAUAGAGGCCUAGUGCGGCGGUUUGCUAAACCGCUACAGGAGCAAUCCUGUCGAGGGUUCGAAUCCCUCCCUCCCCGCCA